ACACUUACCUGGUAGAGAAAACAGGAUCAAAAAGGUGUCUUUCCUAGGGCAACGAUUGCCCUUUGCACUAUGGGUGUGCUGGCCCCUAUAAUUUUCCCAGAGGCCAGAAGGAAACUUGAUGUUAUAAUCUAUGGUAGUGUGAGGACUGAUUUGUGCUCUAUCUUGUG
ensembl:snRNA Gm25699 U1 spliceosomal RNA